rnacentral:pre_miRNA from 1 species
AGCCUUCUGUAUCCAUGCUGAGAUUUCGUCACACCAGACCACAAGGGCUGAUGAGACUUCCAAGAUAAGUGAAGUG